GGGCCCGCACAAGCGGUGGAGCAUGUGGUUUAAUUCGAUGAUACGCGAGGAACCUUACCAGGGUUUAAAUGCAGAACGACAGGGGUGGAAACACCCCCUUCUUCGGACGGACUGCAAGGUGCUGCAUGGUUGUCGUCAGCUCGUGCUGUGAAGUGUCGGGUUAAGUCCCAUAACGAGCGCAACCCCCAUUUCUAGUUGCCAGCGGUUUCGGCCGGGGACUCUAGAGAAACUGCCAGCGUAAGCUGUGAGGAAGGUGGGGAUGACGUCAAAUCAUCACGGCCCUUACAUCCUGGGCCACACCACGUGCUACAAUGGUGGGGACAAAGGGCAGCAAACUCGCGAGAGCUAGCAAAUCCCAUAAACCGUGGCUCAGUUCAGAUCGUAGGCUGCAACUCGCCUACGUG
rnacentral:rRNA from 1 species